UCAGCCCAGAGGUUGUUUCAGAGUUCAAUCUUGGAGUGAGCUGUACCCUGACUUUGAACAGCCCAGAAUUAUGGUUAAAAUUUGAAGGUUUUAAUCAUACACUGUAUCCAAAAUUUCUACUAAAUUAUUGUCGUGUAUAUUGGAUCCCAAAUGGUUGACAAUGUCUAUAUUUGAUAAUACAAAAUAAUUAUCAGAGCUGUGUUUCAAAAAGGGAAUAUGAAUGAAAUAAAGGAAUUACGUCGAACCGACUGCAAGAAAGAUAUAUUCUAGACGAUUUGACAUGAGGGCAAGACAAACAGAGAAGUGUCUGACACGCAUGCGUUAUUCAUUUCAUUCUCCCCAGAGAGAGGUUUCAUUCCGGAAUGAGUGUCCGUUCCACGUUUACAUGAUACCGGCAUGGAAUAUCGUUCCGGAAUGAGCGUCUCGUUCCAGAAUGAAAACUGGGAUGACUCAUUCCGGAAUGACUCGUUCUGGAUUUAAAUUUUGCUUUGGUAUCAUGUAAACAAAUAUAAAGAAAUAUAUGGCAACUGAGAUGAACUCGUUCCGGAAUGAAACUCAUUCCGGCAUCAUGUAAACAGCCUCUUAUACGACAAUUAUAUGAUUUUUGGAACAAUAGAGUCAGACUUGUAAUAACCACAAAAAUAUAAAAAAAUAAUUUGUAAUUUAAACAAAGAGAUGUUGUAUGCACACACCUUAUAAAUGAUUAUUUUAUAUUAGGUAUGUAACGAACCUGUAAAGAAUCAUAUUAAAAAUAUACGUACCCAA